AUUGAACGCUGGCGGCAUGCUUUACACAUGCAAGUCGAACGGCAGCGCGGGCUUCGGCCUGGCGGCGAGUGGCGAACGGGUGAGUAAUGCAUCGGAACGUGCCCAGCAGUGGGGGAUAGGCCGGUGACAGCCGGAUUAAUACCGCAUACGACCUGAGGGUGAAAGCGGGGGAGCGAAAGACCUCGCGCUAUUGGGGCGGCCGAUGUCGGAAUAGCUAGUUGGUGGGGUAAAGGCUUACCAAGGCGACGAUCCGUAGCUGGUCUGAGAGGACGACCAGCCACACUGGGACUGAGACACGGCCCAGACUCCUACGGGAGGCAGCAGUGGGGAAUUUUGGACAAUGGGGGCAACCCUGAUCCAGCCAUGCCGCGUGCGGGAAGAAGGCCUUCGGGUUGUAAACCGCUUUUGUUCGGGAAGAAAUCCUCUGGGCUAAUACCCCGGGGGGAUGACGGUACCGGAAGAAUAAGCACCGGCUAACUACGUG
rnacentral:rRNA from 1 species